GACGAACGCUGGCGGCGUGCCUAAUACAUGCAAGUCGAGCGAACCUUUUAAAAGCUUGCUUUUGAAAGGUUAGCGGCGGACGGGUGAGUAACACGUGGGCAACCUGCCCUAUAGUUUGGGAUAACUCCGGGAAACCGGGGCUAAUACCGGAUAAUACAAUUUAGCUCCUGCUAGAUUGUUGAAAGAUGGUUUCGGCUAUCACUAUAGGAUGGGCCCGCGGCGCAUUAGCUAGUUGGUAGGGUAACGGCCUACCAAGGCGAUGAUGCGUAGCCGACCUGAGAGGGGGAUCGGCCGCACUAGGACUGAGACACGGCCCAGACUCCUACGGGAGGCAGCAGUAGGGAAUCUUCCACAAUGGACGAAAGUCUGAUGGAGCAACGCCGCGUGAGUGAAGAAGGUUUUCGGAUCGUAAAACUCUGUUGUAAGGGAAGAACAAGUACAGUAGUAACUGGCUGUGCCUUGACGGUACCUUAUUAGAAAGCCACGGCUAACUACGUGCCAGCCGCCGCCGUAAAAC
rnacentral:rRNA from 1 species